rnacentral:rRNA from 1 species
CUACGUGCCAGCAGCCGCGGUAAUACGGAAGGUCCGGGCGUUAUCCGGAUUUAUUGGGUUUAAAGGGAGCGUAGGCUGGAGAUUAAGUGUGUUGUGAAAUGUAGACGCUCAACGUCUGACUUGCAGCGCAUACUGGUUUCCUUGAGUACGCACAACGUUGGCGGAAUUCGUCGUGUAGCGGUGAAAUGCUUAGAUAUGACGAAGAACUCCGAUUGCGAAGGCAGCUGACGGGAGCGCAACUGACGCUUAAGCUCGAAGGUGCGGGUAUCGAACAGGAUUAGAUACCCUGGUAGUCCGCACAGUAAACGAUGGAUGCCCGCUGUUGGUACCUGGUAUCAGCGGCUAAGCGAAAGCAUUAAGCAUCCCACCUGGGGAGUACGCCGGCAACGGUGAAACUCAAAGGAAUUGACGGGGGCCCGCACAAGCGGAGGAACAUGUGGUUUAAUUCGAUGAUACGCGAGGAACCUUACCCGGGCUUGAAUUGCAGUCGCUGCCCACAGAGA